rnacentral:misc_RNA from 1 species
GGAUUCCAACAAUUGGAGGCCUCUGCAAUUGGAGAAAAAAAAAGGGAAAAAUAGUUCUUCAGCAUUAGUAUGUUCAUAAUUCUAUAAUACAAGAAGGUUUAAUCACAAAAAUAAUCUGAACUUAAACGAGAAAUUGCAAUUUAGUCCAAUGAAUUUAAUUUUGGCAAUUUUUAAGCCAAAUUAUGAAAAUUUGUUGCAAUAUUACCCGAGGGGUGGGUGAAAUUGAUCUGGGCGAGUAUGUCAGUGGUAACAUGGCAGCCCAUCUGGCAUAUUGUAGACUAAGGCUUCGUGUCUCUCAUGCUCCAGUAAUAGUGCAAAAUUGGGUUUAAGCGC